rnacentral:rRNA from 1 species
AGAUUGAACGCUGGCGGCAGGCCUAACACAUGCAAGUCGAGCGGUAGAGAGGUGCUUGCACCUCUUGAGAGCGGCGGACGGGUGAGUAAUGCCUAGGAAUCUGCCUAGUGGUGGGGGAUAACGUUCGGAAACGGACGCUAAUACCGCAUACGUCCUACGGGAGAAAGCGGGGGACCUUCGGGCCUCGCGCCAUUAGAUGAGCCUAGGUCGGAUUAGCUAGUUGGUGAGGUAAUGGCUCACCAAGGCGACGAUCCGUAACUGGUCUGAGAGGAUGAUCAGUCACACUGGAACUGAGACACGGGUCCAGACUCCUACGGGAGCAGCA